CUAAAACCAGGUUUCAGCUCCACUGAAGUCAUCUUCACUUUGGACCUCUUCAACUUUACAACAAGAACUUUCAACCCCAACCAAAACCUAAGCAGAUUCUGACUAAACCACCAGGUCAGCUAAUCAACCAACCAACCAAUCAUCCAAGCAACUAACCAGUGGAAUCAUGAAGAUCCAGGUUGUCGCCGUCCUGCUCUUUGCUCUUUCUGCAACAGAGAUCUGCGAGGCUCUGAACUUCUUUCAGAAGCAUGUCGUUCGCCAAAUGGCUCCUGGGGAUUGUAAUACAAAGAUGAAAGUAAUCAAUAAGAAAGGAGAAUGCAAACCAAAAAAUACCUUCUUCUUGGACCCAAACGGUGUCCUAAACGGAAUCUGUAACCAUGGUGUAGGACAACAAACAAUGGACAAUAUUUAUCUUAACAUUAUUGACUGCAAAGUUGAAAACUACCUUUAUUGCACCUACAGAUCUGUACCUGGUAGAGCAACUUCUGUUACAGUCUUAUGUGACCAAAACAAUGUGCCUUAUCACUUGGUGGGGUAGGAGGAAAUAAUGGCUAAUUUUCCACUUUGUUGUGUUAAAUGCUGCAUAUAAUUUCUGUACAAGCAGCAACAACUGAGAUCUGUAACACUUUUACUGUUUUUGUUUUCUAUGUAGUACAUUUUCUUUGACAUGAAUUUAUUACUGUUGAAAAGAACCCAUUUGCUGCAUUUCGAAAAAACAUUUGGACAAACAAAUAAACAACAGUGGAAAAGAAAA